GGGUCGGGGUGCCGAUGGGGGUGGCCGUUUGGGUCGGAGACGGGGCCGGAGGAGGCGGGGCUCGACGUCGCCGACAGCGGCUGGAGAAGGAAGAAGAAAGGAAAAACGGCUAUUCUAAGUGGGGCACCUGCCCCACUUGGUCUUGCGUUUCUCCUCCUGAUUGAUGCACAUGCGGCCCCAAAUCCCGAGCAGAGUGCGGCCGUGCGGCGUCCUCCUCCUUCCUGCACUUCCCUGCUGCCGCCUGCUCUCCUUAGGCGCUUAGGAGCCAGCGCCGCUCGACGUCGUCGACGGCACGGGCAUGCUAUGCAGAGCAGCGACGGCGCCGGAGCCGUCCCACCCGGACCCCCGCCAGGCAUCCCAAGGUCGAUGUAGCUGCUGGCGGUGACGUCCAGUGCUUGCUGCAUCUCCCUUUCAUGGCCUCCUCGACGGCCUCCGCCGGCACAUCGAAGUAGUAGCAGUGGCUCCGGCGCGCUGGCAUGCUGCAGCAGGUCCGCCGCGAACCGUGACCACGGGUGUUGUUUCUUCUGCAUCGGCGAGGUGGAGAGAAGGAGGAGGCGGUCCUGGCCGCUGCAGACGGCUACGGCGAGGGGCUGCUUGACCCAACCGAGUUCGCGAUGGCGAGGGGCUGCUUGACCUGGACAUGGCGACGGAGACGACAGCAACAUCGCACAUGGAUGUCACCGCGGCUCACUCCCUCGACAUGCUCUCCUCCUCCUUCCCGCCCUACGCCGCCGCGUUCCGGUGAGACAUGACUUCCCUGCUGCCUGCGGGCCUUUCUGGUGAAGACGGGCUCCCUAUUCUCAGUGCACGCUAAGGUGUUCGAUGUUUGGUCGCACCCAUAGGAGCUUGCAUGUACCAUUGGUUGUUUCUGCCAUCGUCAGAUUAUGUAUCCUUCGUUGCAAGCUGUAGCAGGAAUGAAUGGAGUUGGAAAGAUGAUUUUGUUUUGUACCGUC